CUUUUAAAAUAUCUGGGACCACCUGCUGCAUCAGUUGACAAGGAACAGCCAUGCAGCUCAGCUGUGCCGGCUUCCUCAGACCUAGAACCACAUGAAGGAAUGUCAGAACAGCAAGCUGCUCAUCCUGAUGAGAUGACCACUGAUUCCACCCUGCCACUGACCACUGUGCCUGUUUGUUCUGGCCCAGAACCACUGCAAGGAACGUCAGACCAGCCUGCUGCAUCUCAUCCUGAUUGCACCACAGAUUCCACCCAUACACUCUUCUCAG